rnacentral:rRNA from 1 species
CACCCAGGACGGUGGAUCACUCGGCUCGUGGGUCGAUGAAGAACGCAGCAAAUUGCGCGUCGACAUGUGAACUGCAGGACACAUGAACAUCGACGUUUCGAAAGCACAUUGCGGUCCAUGGAUUCCGUUCCCGGGCCACGUCUGGCUGAGGGUCG